rnacentral:tRNA from 3 species
CUCCCCGGCCGGGAAUUGAACCCGGGUCUCGCACGUGACAGGCGCGGAUACUCACCACUAUACUACCGAGGA